rnacentral:lncRNA from 1 species
UCUACGUUUGGUUCGGCUUCAUCCGUUCAUCUUCUUCAUGGACUCGUUCUUCUUCCUUGCGGGAUUUCAGGCAAGAUGACCGCAACCUUGGAUCUCACUACUAUCAUUGCUAUGCUAGUUGCCUCGUUCUUUUGCUAUGCUGCGCUACCUAUUACCUGUUUGUCAAGCCAUCCCAAAUUGCCAUGAACCUCUAACCUUUGACACCAUUCCAAUGCAAACCUUUGUUUGGCUAUGUUACCGCUUUGCUCAGCCCCUCUUAUAGCGUUGCUAGUUGCAGGUGAAGUUGAAGAUUUCUCCAUGGUGGACAGGAUUUUGGUUGGGAUAUCACAAUAUCUCUUAUAUUAUUAAUGCAUCUAUAUAUUUGGUAAAGGGUGGAAGGCUCGGCCUUAUGCCUGGUGUUUUGUUCCACUCUUGCCGCCCUAGUUUCCGUCAUACCGGUGUUAUGUUCCCGGAUUUUGCGUUCCUUACGCGGUCGGGUGAUUUAUGGGACCCCCCUGACAGUUCUCUUUGAAUAAAACUUGUCCAGCAAGGCCCGACCUUGGUUUUACCAUUUGCCUCACCACCACCUAUACCCUUCCCUUGGGUCGGCCAACCCAAGGGUCAUCUUUAUUUUAGCCCCCCUGGGCCAGUGCUUGUCUAAGUGUUGGUCCGAACCGAGCCGCCUGCGGGGCCACCUCGUGGCAACUCGAGGGCUGGUUUUACUCGUAGCCUGUCUCAUCCGGUGUUGCCCUGAGAACGAGAUAUAUGCAGCUCCUAUCGGGAUUGUCGGCGCAUCGGGCGGUCUUGCUGGUCUUGUUUUACCAUUGUCGAAAUGUCUUGAUGUACCGGGAUACCGAGUCUGAUCGGAGUGUCUUGGGUGAAGGUCUAUUCCUUCGAUGAUCGCGAGAGCUUGUCAUGGGCUAAGUUGGGACACCCCUGCAGGGUAUAAACUUUCGCGAGCCGUGCCCGCGGUUAUGUGGCAGAUGGGAAUUUGUUAAUGUCCGGUUGUAGACAACUUGACACUUGAUCCGAAUUAAAACGCAUCAACCGCGUGUGUAGCCGUGAUGGUCUCUUCUCGGCGGAGUCCGGGAAGUGAACACGGUUUCUGUGUUAUGUUUGACGUAAGUAGGAGUUCAGGAUCACCUCUUGAUCAUUGCUAGUUCACGACCGUUCCUUUGUUCCUCUUCUCGCUCUCAUUUGCGUAUGUUAGCCACCAUAUCAUGCUUAGUCGCUGCUGCAACCUCACCACUUUGCCCCUUCCUUUCCCAUUAAGCUUUGCUAGUCUUGAUACCCAUGGUAAUGGGAUUGCUGAGUCCUCGUGACUCACCAGAUACUUCCAACACCAGAUUGCAGGUGCCUAUGUUACCGAGCAGGUGACGCAACCAAGCUCAAGGAGGAGCUCGAUGAAGAUCUUGCCCUUCGUGUUGUUUCGUUCUAGUUGAUCAGUAGUGGAGCCUAGUUGGGGUCGAUCGGGAACCUUUUGUCGCAUUUGGGGUUCUUCUUUUAUUUUGGUUCCGUAGUCGGACCUUGAUUGUAUCUGGAUGAUGUAAUGCUUUAUUCAUGUAAUUGUGUGAAGUGGCGAUUGUAAGCCAACUAUGUAUCUCUUUCCCUUAUGUAUUACAUGGGUUGUUUGAAGAUUACCUCACUUGCGACAUUGCUUUCAAUGCGGUUAUGCCUCUAAGUCGUGCUUCGACACGUGGGAGAUAUAGCCGCAUCGAGGGCGUUACAAGUUGGUAAUCAGAGCCUUCCCCGGCCUUAGGAGCCACAAUGCUUUAUUGUUUUUAGCGGCCAAGUUGUGUCUAGAAAAAUGUUUUGAGUCAUUUAGGAUUAUAUAUAUCAGAGAGUUAGGAAUUCUUUUUACUCCGCAGUCCCUUCGUCGCUCUGGUGAGGUCUCCUGACGUAGAGUUUUGACUCUUCUCUUCUCAAAUUUCACUAAAUUUUUUUUAGGAUCACGCGGGUAUCUUAGAAUCGUUCCGAUGGUUUUAUGAUGACAACAUUGUCUUGGUGCCUCCCGUCAGCAGGGUUUUUUUUAAUGGAGGUGUCCCGGGGAGUUGAUCUCUGAGGUGUUGUCGUCAUAAUUUUAUCGUUGCAGUUCUGGAAUACCUGAGUUUAGUACGCCGACAUCAAAAAUCUCUUUUAUGCAGUUGUUGCUGAGAUAACCCCGCUAACCCAGUACUGAGGUGAGUACGGGAGUAUUGCCAUGACUCGUAUAACGGAUGCGUUUCGAAGGUUGAGGUAGACGAUUUCUGAAGGUUUCUUGGUUAUGUGUUGACGGAUGGAUACAGCUUGGAUGUAGGUAUUGUUAGUUUGGGUGAGAUAUAUUGCUUCCCCUGUAUCCCCAACACCAGAUUGCAUAACCAGAAAGUUUCGGGAGUUUUAUAGGUGGGAAUUCAAGUAGCUCCUAGAAUAUCUUUCCGACAGAUGCGUGAUAUGGGAUUGGGUAAAUCUCUAUCAUAUGUUUGUUCCGGCUUAUUCUGCAAGCCAACUCCUUUGUUUUGUUUUAAUUGUGGUAUUCGAGUUGCUUCGAAGUCAAAUGUUGAAUCCAUACCUUUUCCUAAACGGUGUUCUCAUAUUGCUAUGUGAAUACUAAUCCUUUUUGAUCAUUGAGGUUGUCAUGUUAAUUCUUUUCCAAUCGGUGCGCUUCUCUUCGAGAUGAUCCCAUCAUUCUCCCCAUCCGCAAGAUCAAUUCUAAGUCUUCUCAACGGUGUUUGUUUCAUCCGUCUCCAAGUUACCUUUGUUUUUUCCCGCCCACCCACCGUUUUUCCUCAAGGACUAAGAUUUCUUUACCAUGUAUCCUUUUAUUUGUGGGAAGUCUCGUCAUUCUUUUCAAUCAAUGUUCUUACCCGGUGGUUCUCAAGAAGAUGUUCUUCUAGUUCAUCAUUCCUCAUUCCUUUCUCUUCUCCGGUGGAUUCAAGUCAAGUUUUGUUGAUCAUAUACCUUUUUCCUCAUUUCAAUGUCUUCUCAUGCCGGUGCACCUCAUUAUCAUUCUACUUCUCGCUAUUUGUUAUUCCAGAGUGCUCAAGAUAUCUCGAAGAUUCGUGUUUCCACUCUGCAUUCGUUCAAGCUAUUUCGAGGUUCUUAUCUCAUUCAAGUCAUUUAAUUCAGCCGGUGCAACAUCUCUUUUAAAUCAUUUCAACGGUGUUCUUUUGAGUGGGCCUAACCCACAAGUCUUUUCCCAUGAUCUUACCUGACUCUUCUAAUUAUUCCGGAGCUAUCCCAAAUUCUUCUCCAAGUUUGACGUAAGAAUGAGUUAUCAUCAGUCAAAUGCUUUUCUCCAAGAUCUUUCAAUUUUUUUUCAUAGUUGGCUCAACCUCUUCGCUUUUGAUUCUUCCGGUGUGCCUCAAUAAUUCUUGGUGGUGUUUCUCGUUGUCAUUCUCAUCAUUUGAAGACCGAAGAAGGAUUUCUCCUAAAUCUUGUCCGUUCUCUUGAAGAUUCUUGGUUCUAGCUUUAUGCCAUCCUCAUAAUUGUUUUGAUUGUCACAAUUCUUUUAUUACCAUCCGAAGCAUUUCAUGAGUUGUUUCCAUUUCUUUCCUUCGAAGGCCAUCAUGUCAUAAUUCUUCAUCCUCAGCGUGUAGCUAUCGUUCUCCAAAUCUUACCGGUGAUUCGUUCAAAUAUCCUCUAAUCAGUACGUGAUCUCUUCAUUCUCUUGUAUCUAAAUCCCUUCAAGUAUCUUCAUUCGUUUUACAAUUCUUCCCGGUGAAUUGUGCCUUUGCUACGUUCAUUUUCAAUUCUUACGGUGGUUCAUUCAAGAUUUCACCUCUUUCAUUAUCAUUUAAUUCAUUCGUUCUUUCCAAUCCUACCGGUGGUUCGUUGAAGACCUUCCCAAGCUUGCGCCUUAUCUAUCUUAAUCCUUUCUACGAGAAUAAGUGGCAUGCCAAAUCCAUUGUGGGUCAUCAAUUUAAUUGGUGAAGGAUAAGCAUAACAUAAUUCUUAUUCUUGUUCAUCCAAGUAAAUUCAAUUCCUUAUUCCGGGGGUUCAUCAAAAAUUCUUGGUUUCAAUUGCUCAUCCUUCUUUUUCGGAGUUCCAAGUUCUCUUGGUUAUAUAAUCGCAAAGCUCCAUCUAAAUCAUUGCAAGGCUUCACCUUGUGUUUUCAACUUCUCUUUCUUUUCAUCAUCCUUUUAUUACCGGAGUUCUUCAUGGAGGCUCUACAUGGUGGUUCAUCAAGGAUUCUUUUCAUUCCUAAAUUGUUCUUCAAGUUUUCUCUCGAAGUUAUGACCCGCCAAGCUAUACUCAAAAUUAAACAGGAUGCCCAACACUUGUUUUGUUUUGAGAAGCUCAAGUAUUCUCUGUCUUGCAUUCCAAAGUGCAAUUUCUUCUAUCUUAUCUUUUGAGAUGGUGUUAUGUCACUCUUGACAAUUUCCUUCAUGUUUCAUGAUUCAUAUGUUGUCAAGAAGGAGGUAUUUUAAAUCCAUCAGUCUCUUCAUUGGAGUUACCUUGGGUUAUAUUUCACCUAAAGCUUUCCCUAAGGAUUGUUGCUAUUUAUGGUGCUUAUAAAUGACCUAAGUUCUUCAUUUGUCCUCCCGGUGAAAUAAGUUUCUCAUCUCCUUGUUGAUAUCAAUCCAAUCAUUUGUUUCCGUUGGUGGCAGAAGCUCACCUCAUAAUUUUGAGAUGUUUUCAUAAGCCCACCACAAGCUUAUUCUUUUCGUUGUUGGUUUUCCAACAACUCCGUUGGAUUCUUCUUUGCAAGGAUGCUUUCCAAGUUCACCUGUGGCAAAAGUUGUCAUUUUCUUCUCCGUCCCUUUAUUCCAAUGAUCUACUUCUAUUCUUUCUUACGGAGGCAUUGUGAUGUUGCUCUUUUCACUCAUCACCUCGUUUUGUGAGGAUCGUGUUCUUUUCUUUCUUAUCCAUUUAACCGGAGUGUUGUUUCAUCUCUUCAAUAUCUUUUCAUCUCAUCAAGUUUUCUUCUCUUUUCUACCGGAGUGCUGUCCAAAUUCUGCCAUUCUUGUUCCUUGGCUAUCUCAUUAUACUGAUGUGGUCAUAUUCUUUUCGUUCGUGAAGCUCUUAUUUUCCAUGUCUUUCAAACUUCAAAUUCUCGUAAUACUCCUUGUUCAUUGUUUCUACCGGUUUGCUUGCAAUCUCGUUCAUCUCUGUUGUAUUUUUUCUUUUAAAUUGCUCAACCUCUCAAGGUUCGUGGUUUCACUCGUUUUUCGAAGAAACAACUAAGUUUUACCUCUUCUCUUCCUCUUCCGUUUUCCCUCCGGUGCCAUCCUAGAUCUCGGGACGAGAUCCUCUCAUAGUGGUGGAGUGUUGUAACGCCCCGGAUGCAACUUUCCAUAUUCGUAACUCCAACUCUUGCCUUUUCCGGAGAUGCGAUAUGAUAUUUCCUUCCUGGUUGAGCUUUUGUCUUUUGUUUUGCAUUUUAUUCUUGCCAUGCUUAGCUUCAUAAUCAUGCCUUCUUACUGUUGGUUGCCUUGCCAUGCCAUGUAUUGCUCUGUAGUGAGUGGUUCGAGCUCACGAACAUGCCUACUUAUUGUUGUUCCUGCCAUGUAUGAAUCUGUAAUAUAACUUGCCAUGUUCACAUGGGUGCCAUCAUAUUUUCUAUGCCUUUUUGGCUCAUGGUCAGUAAGGGUCUUUCGAUAUAUGCUAUUAGUAGAUUCAUGCCAUGCCUUUGUUUGCCAUGAUAAGUUCCUAUAACAUGUUGUUUGAUAGCUCUAAACAUUGCAACCUGAUGUUAUUUCUACUAAAGUCUGAAACUGUUAUUAUUUGCAAUAUCUCCAUGUCUUUUUGAGCAUGUUCUAGCCUUUUCUGGAGAUAGCUCAGUGUUCAUGUUUUGUUAUGCUUUACGUGUACUUCAUGCCCAUGCCUUUUGUUAUUAUGUUGGGGUGCUGUAGCAUGUUGUUUUGAUGCUUGUAAGGUGCCUAGUUGCUGUUUUGGACAGAUUGUUGCUAUGACUUGUAUAGUGUGUGUGUGUUGCACCGUUGCUCCGUUUUGAAUGUGCUCUAUAUGAAACUUGCUUGAUUUUGCAUGUAGUUUCAUAUUACCAUGUUGCAUCCUUGUUUUGGUGUGUUUGCUUGAUGUUUGGGUGCAUUUUGCAUCAAUGCCAUGCUUAACUUGUUUUGCUCAUAUCUUAUAGGCCGUAGCUCCGAAUCUAAUGAACUUUAUAUGUAACUUGACCAGAAUUUCGUGUAGAUCAUCUUGGUGAUAUUUAACUUGCUGUUUAACAACUUGAACAUAAUGUUUAUUCAGUUCUGGACCAAUUUCGAAAUAUGCAUAUGAGGACUUACCGGAAUUGUUAUAUGUUGUUCCCGGCCUCAAUUAAACUUGCCUUGAUGUGUUAUUCUUGUUUGCAUCGUCUCUUGCCAUGAGUAGAUUCAUGUAGCUUGGUCGUGCAUCAUGCUUGUUGUGCAUCAUGCCUUGGUCAUGUGUGGUGUGUUUACCUAUGUUGUGUGCUUCUUCUUGUUAGUUCCUGUUUCGUUGCGUUCGUGAGGAUUCGUUCGUCUACGUUUGGUUCGGCUUCAUCCGUUCAUCUUCUUCAUGGACUCGUUCUUCUUCCUUGCGGGAUUUCAGGCAAGAUGACCGCUACCUUGGAUCUCACUACUAUCAUUGCUAUGCUAGUUGCCUCGUUCUUUCGCUAUGCUGCGCUACCUAUUACCUGUUUGUCAAGCCAUCCCAAAUUGCCAUGAACCUCUAACCUUUGACACCAUUCCUAUGCAAACCGUUGUUUGGCUAUGUUACCACUUUGCUCAGCCCCACUUAUAGCGUUGCUAGUUGCAGGUGAAGUUGAAGAUUUCUCCAUGGUGGACAGGAUUUUGGUUGGGAUAUCACAAUAUCUCUUAUAUUAUUAAUGCAUCUAUAUAUUUGGUAAAGGGUGGAAGGCUCGGCCUUAUGCCUGGUGUUUUGUUCCACUCUUGCCACCCUAGUUUCCGUCAUACCGGUGUUAUGUUCCCGGAUUUUGCGUUCCUUACGCGGUCGGGUGAUUUAUGGGACCCCCCUGACAGUUCGCUUUGAAUAAAACUUGUCCAGCAAGGCCCAACCUUGAUUUUACCAUUUGCCUCACCACCACCUAUACCCUUCCCUUGGGUCGGCCAACCCAAGGGUCAUCUUUAUUUUAGCCCCCCCGGGCCAGUGCUUGUCUAAGUGUUGGUCCGAACCGAGCCGCCUACGGGGCCACCUCGUGGCAACUCGAGGGCUGGUUUUACUCGUAGCCUGUCUCAUCCGGUGUUGCCCUGAGAACGAGAUAUGUGCAGCUCCUAUCGGGAUUGUCGGCGCAUCGGGCGGUCUUGCUGGUCUUGUUUUACCAUUGUCGAAAUGUCUUGAUGUACCGGGAUACCGAGUCUGAUCGGAGUGUCUUGGGUGAAGGUCUAUUCCUUCGAUGAUCGCGAGAGCUUGUCAUGGGCUAAGUUGGGACACCCCUGCAGGGUAUAAACUUUCGCGAGCCGUGCCCGCGGUUAUGUGGCAGAUGGGAAUUUGUUAAUGUCCGGUUGUAGACAACUUGACACUUGAUCUGAAUUAAAACGCAUCAACCGCGUGUGUAGCCGUGAUGGUCUCUUCUCGGCGGAGUCCGGGAAGUGAACACGGUUUCUGUGUUAUGUUUGACGUAAGUAGGAGUUCAGGAUCACCUCUUGAUCAUUGCUAGUUCACGACCGUUCCUUUGUUCCUCUUCUCGCUCUCAUUUGCGUAUGUUAGCCACCAUAUCAUGCUUAGUCGCUGCUGCAACCUCACCACUUUGCCCCUUCCUUUCCCAUUAAGCUUUGCUAGUCUUGAUACCCAUGGUAAUGGGAUUGCUGAGUCCUCGUGACUCACCAGAUACUUCCAACACCAGAUUGCAGGUGCCUAUGUGACCGAGCAGGUGACGCAACCAAGCUCAAGGAGGAGCUCGAUGAAGAUCUUGCCCUUCAUGUUGUUUCGUUCUAGUUGAUCAGUAGUGGAGCCCAGUUGGGGUCGAUCGGGAACCUUUUGUCGCAUUUGGGGUUCUUCUUUUAUUUUGGUUCCGUAGUCGGACCUUGAUUGUAUCUGGAUGAUGUAAUGCUUUAUUCAUGUAAUUGUGUGAAGUGGCGAUUGUAAGCCAACUAUGUAUCUCUUUCCCUUAUGUAUUACAAGGGUUGUGUGAAGAUUACCUCACUUGCGACAUUGCUUUCAAUGCGGUUAUGCCUCUAAGUCGUGCUUCGACACGUGGGAGAUAUAGCCGCAUCGAGGGCGU